AAGACAUUUUCAAGUGUUAUGGGGGCCCCGAAACCAAAAAGUAUGAGAACAUAUGGUAAGAAAGACUAAAUUUUCCUUAACUCUCAAUUCUUGGGAUGCUCCUUUGACCGUAAGUCAUCCCCUGAGGCGCCCCUUCCUUCCUUGGGACGUUGGCCCAGAAGAGAAGGCCAGAACUGCUGCCGAGGGGCCUCCCCGGAGUGGGCUACCAACGGAGGUCACAGCCGUGCUGGUCAAGGGAGCCUGACGGGAUCGAAGAGACCCGCAGGGUCAAAGGCGAAGGGGCGGAGAGGGGCGGGGUCAGGAGCAGGAGGAGGAAGGGCGGCCUGGGCGCGGCCUCCUCUCUGCCUCCGGGUGUGGCUGGCUCCGCCGUGGGUCGGUUCCCGCCUGGGGUCUGAGUGCCGGGGGCGGUUCCUACCCUCCACCCCUCGGCACCUCCUCUGCCCUGCCGCUGCCUGCAUCCCCUUCCGUGGUCCCAAGGUUCCAACGACGCUCCUGCUUCCCUCCAUCCCUUCCUCUGGAGCACGCAGGCUGCUGGGGGAUCCAACUGAAAAACUCGACAGAAUGCAUGGAGUAGUCUGAGGACUACGAAAACCUGGUCUCAAUACAGCGCCAAACCAGGAAGGACACAUCUGUGCGUACAAAGAUAGCUCCAGAAGUUCUGUGGUUCAGCCUGGUGAAGAGAGAAAGGGCUUUCCUGUCAGUGACUAGUGGUGGUGGCAACAGGUACCUAACACUCUGAGAGAGGGUAAGCUUGCUCUCCAGUGGGAUGAUUUGGUCCCAAGAGAAUGCAGCAAACCACCGUUGCUUUUCUCUCUCUCGCUGUCUUCCUGGCAAUUGAUUCUAGGAUGGGUCAGGGAAAGUGUGCAGCAGAGUAAGGUAAAUAAAGCCCCAGCUUUCUGGUAAGAGGACCACAAAGGGAACCUAGGCAACUGAAAAGUGGUGAAGAGAUCACAGAAGAGAAAGAUUUCGGAAAAGUGACCAUAAAAAUUUGUUUCUGAACUCCUGAGCUUACCCUAAAGCUGCAUAUGCAUGGAUCUGAUCCUAAAUAGCAUACCAAAAUCUUUGACAACUAAAGUAACAGUCCUCUGCCUAUGUUCCACACUAGCCACAUGCAGGACAGAUCCAAAUAGCACUGCAAAGACUUUGAGAAUGGAACUGACAUAGAAACCACAACACACAGAAGGCCAGAUGGAACUUGUGGUCUGAACCAAACUGGGUUAAUUGCCUGCUAAAACAGAAAUAUCAACAUACUCCAUAAGAUAGAAACAAGACACAGAGUCGCAUAACAUUAUAUUCAAAAUGUCUAGGAUACAAUUUAAAAUUCCUUGACAAAUGAAGAACCAUGAAAAUCUUAGCUUACAUGGGAAAAGACAAUGAAUUGAUACCAAAACGGAUUAUACAGAUGUUGGAAUUAUCUGACAAAGAAGCUAAAGCAGCUAUUACUAAAAGCUCCAACAAGUAAGGGGAAACAUUAUUGAAAAGAAUGGAAAGAUAGAAACUCUUAGCAAAAAAAUAGCAGAUAUAAAAAGACGCAAAAUAGAAACUUGGGGAGGGGAAGAUGGGGAAAGGGUAAGGGAAGUGGUGGGAUGUUGGUCAAAGGGUACAAACUUGCAGGUAAAAGAUGAAUAAGUUCUGGGGAUCUAAUACACAGCAUUGUGAUUAUAGUUAACAAUACAAUAUUAUAUACUUGAAUGUUGCUAAUAGACUAGAUCUUAAAUGUUCUCACCACAAAAAAGAAAUGUGACAUGAUAGACGUGUUAGCUAAUGCUAUUGUGGUAAUCAUAUUGCAGUAUAUAAGUGUAUCGAGUCAACAUGUUGUACAUUUAAACUUACACAAUGUUAUAUGUCAAUUAUAUCUCAAUUAAGAAAGAAAGAAAGAAAAAAGUGAAGAGGACACUUAUGGUAGGUUCUCUUGGAGCAGUCAUUUCCCAGUCACCCUUGUAACCAGAGAGCAAUAGUUCGAACAUUCAAAUAAAAAGAAUUGUAGUCGGGACCAGCCUGGUGGAGGCUAAUCUUCCAAAAAAAAAAAAAAAGAAAGAAUUGUAGUUUAUCAAAAGGGUGAAGAUUAAGGCUCCUAAUAAUGUAUAAUGAAAUUUGAAGUAAAACUGAAACAUUUGUCCCCAAAGUUUAAAUCACCCUUAUGAGAUGCAUGUAUUAAAACAUCUUGGAAGAUCUAAACUUUGAGAAGAAACAUAUCUAGAUAGGCAUCUCAGAAGAGCUGAAAAUUUAAAGAACAUAGAGGGAGCUGGUGGUAGAUUCUUUACUGGAUUUGAUAAUUCACUUCAGCACGUGUCCAUACCUUACGAUAGCUAAAACCAGCUGUGGCUGGCAAACAACUGCCCAUCUGCCCAACUGGAUGGUGGAGAUGGGUCAUGAGAACAAGGGAGAAAGAGAAAUUGGCAUUUCAAGCCUAGUUAUUAAUAUAAAAGAAAACAAACAGAAGUAUACCAGAAAACAGUACAAUUUUUUAAAUAAAUUAGGAUAAAAAUUUAAAAAAAAAGAAAUUUUAGAACUGAAAAUACAACCACUAAAAUAAACACCCUAAGGAAGAAUGUAAAUGACAGAAGAAAGAGUUAAUGAACUUGAGGAUAGAUCAAUAGAAAUUAUCCAAAUUGAACAACACAGAAAAAAAGAUGCCCUCCCCACCAAAAAUGAACAGCACCUCAUGGAUCUGUAAACAAUACCAAAAGGGCUAACAUUCAUGUCACCAGAGUUUCAGAAGGAGAGAAGAAAAAGUGCUUUACCAAAAAUAUAUAUAUUUGAAAAACAAUGGCUAAAAAUUUACCACAUUUGGCAAAAGACAAUAACUUAUAGAUUCAAGAAGGUCAGCAAACUCUAAACAGGAAAACACAAAUGAACUUGAAUUAAAAUACAUUACAAUCAAAUUGCUGAAAACUAAA